rnacentral:lncRNA from 1 species
GUAGACAUUGCAUAUGUUGCUAGAAUAUCUCGUGCAAACUUACUCAACAAUGGUAGGAUUGAGAAGCAUUCCAUGUCAGUCAAGGCAGUCCUCUAAGUGUGUAGGAUUGGGAGGAAUUGAGAAUCCAUGUAGAAAUAGUCGGUCCUUGAGGCAAGGAAUUACCUAUGCUCUACCUUCCAGUUGUGAAGGGCCUUGGAGCGAGGUGAAGGCUAAGCAAGUCUGGCCCCUAUAUUUGUUUUACUGUAUGUGGUCGGCUACUUCUUUCUGUAUGUUUUAUGCUUAGGGUUUGUUGGCGUGCAGUAGUUUCGAUGAGGUUGUUCGGCUGAUCAGGUCGACAACCAGGUGACACACUGCAUUAAACGUUCCUUCUCAUGUUGGGCGAAAUUGGAGGCCUAGCAAGACUUCAUAUUUUUAUUUGUACUUUGGCCAUGGCUGUGUGCCACUUGGUGUGUGUGUGUGGCUGCAUUGAAUCAUGUGGUGUCUUGUAUACUUUGAUCGAGACUUUAUAAUAUAAAGCGGAAGGAAAUCCUUUUUCAUCAAUUGGAGGCCUAGGCUCCUUUUGUCAGAAAAAAA